CGUGCGCAAACGCAUGCAACGCCGGCUCUUUGUGUGUCUGUGUGGCUCCGCGCCGCCGCGGGCACCAUUUUCUACUCGGCUCGGGACAGGCACAUAAAAGGGAAGGCGGCUGCCGCCCGUCGCCGUCCUCUUUCCCUCAGAUGCCCUCUGCUGCAGGUUUAUUAUUACAGUACGGGCCGCGCCGCCUCUCCCCGCGGCCUUGGCCAGCCGCCGGGCUAUGCAGCGCCCUGGCCGCCUUCACGCUUGGCUCGCCCCCAAACCGCCUCCUCCGCCUCCUUAUUUGUCUGAAAAGCAACCGCACGUCGAGGCGAAGAGGCCCGCCGGGGCAACAGAGGCCGGGCCGGCGUGUAGAGAGGAGAGAGUGAACAGGGAGCGGGGCUUUUGUCUGUUGGUUGGUCUCCUUGGACUGAAGAGAGGGAGGGUGCAAGGCCAAGACUGUUAA
rnacentral:lncRNA from 1 species